GUCAAGUCAUCAUGCCCCUUAUGCCCAGGGCUACACACGUGCUACAUUGGCCGGUACAAAGGGCUGCGAUACCGCGAGGUGGAGCGAAUCCCAAAAAGCCGGUCUCGGUUCGGAUUGGAGGCUGAAACUCGCCUCCAUGAAGGCGGAGUUGCUAGUAAUCGCGGAUCAGCAAUGCCGCGGUGAAUACAUUCCCGGGCCUU
rnacentral:rRNA from 1 species